rnacentral:rRNA from 1 species
UACGGAGGGAGCUAGCGUUGUUCGGAAUUACUGGGCGUAAAGCGCACGUAGGCGGCCCGGUAAGUCCGCUGUGAAAGUCCAGGGCUCAACCCUGGAAAGCCGGUGGAUACUGCCGGGCUAGAGUCCGGAAGAGGCGAGUGGAAUUCCUGGUGUAGCGGUGGAAUGCGCAGAUAUCAGGAGGAACACCGAUGGCGAAGGCAGCUCGCUGGGACGGUACUGACGCUGAGGCGCGAAAGCGUGGGGAGCGAACAGG